AAGGUGGGGGAAAGGAGAGAAGGUUGGGACUUCCCUUGAUAAGGAUGGAAUGGGUUCAAGUGGACUUAAAACACAGAAGUGGUUAAGUUAUUGCCAUCUACUUAGUGGCAUCUAGCCAUGUUUAAGU